ACACAUGCAAGUCGAGGGGCAGUCCCGCUUUCGGGCGGGAGCGACCGGCGCACGGGUGAGUAACGCGUAUGCAACCUUCCUUUAACUGGGGAAUAGCCCGGAGAAAUUCGGAUUAAUGCCCCAUAAAGUCCCGAUAACGCAUGUUUUCGGGAUUAAAGCUCCGGCGGUUAAAGAUGGGCAUGCGUACCAUUAGCUUGUUGGUGAGGUAAAAGCUCACCAAGGCAACGAUGGUUAGGGGGUCUGAGAGGAUGAUCCCCCACACUGGUACUGAGACACGGACCAGACUCCUACGGGAGGCAGCAGUGAGGAAUAUUGGGCAAUGGGCGCAAGCCUGACCCAGCCAUGCCGCGUGAAGGAUGACGGCCCUAUGGGUUGUAAACUUCUUUUAUACGGGACGAAACUCCUGAUCGUGAUCGGGAUUGACUGUACCGUACGAAUAAGCAUCGGCUAACUCCGUGCCAGCAGCCGCGGUAAUACGGAGGAUGCAAGCGUUAUCCGGAUUCAUUGGGUUUAAAGGGUGCGUAGGCGGAAUAGCAAGUCAGUGGUGAAAGCCUGCGGCUUAACCGUAGAAUUGCCAUUGAUACUGUUAUUCUUGAGUGCAGUUGAGGUGGGCGGAAUGUGUAGUGUAGCGGUGAAAUGCAUAGAUAUUACACAGAACACCGAUUGCGAAGGCAGCUCACUAAACUGGUACUGACGCUGAGGCACGAAAGCGUGGGGAGCAAACAGGAUUAGAUACCCUGGUAGUCCACGCUGUAAACUAUGAUCACUCGUUGUUGGCGAUACACUGUCAGCGACUGAGCGAAAGCAUUAAGUGAUCCACCUGGGGAGUACGGCGGCAACGCUGAAACUCAAAGGAAUUGACGGGGGCCCGCACAAGCGGAGGAACAUGUGGUUUAAUUCGAUGAUACGCGAGGAACCUUACCUGGGCUUGAAAGGGGAACGACCUCCCGGGAAACCGGGAUUCUCUUCGGAGCGUUCUCCUAGGUGCUGCAUGGUUGUCGUCAGCUCGUGCCGUGAGGUGUCGGGUUAAGUCCCAUAACGAGCGCAACCCCUAUUGUUAGUUGCCAGCGGGUGAUGCCGGGAACUCUAACGAAACUGCCGGUGUAAACCGAGAGGAAGGUGGGGAUGACGUCAAAUCAGCACGGCCCUUAUGUCCAGGGCUACACACGUGUUACAAUGGUCGGUACAAAGGGCAGCUACUUGGUGACAAGAUGCUAAUCUCCAAAACCGGUCCCAGUUCGGAUCGAAGUCUGCAACUCGACUUCGUGAAGUUGGAUUCGCUAGUAAUCGCGCAUCAGCAACGGCGCGGUGAAUACGUU
rnacentral:rRNA from 1 species